GCAUAUCAAUAAGCGGAGGAAAAGAAACCAACUGGGAUUGCCUCAGUAACGGCGAGUGAAGCGGCAGAAGCUCAAAUUUGAAAUCUGGCCCCUCUGGGGGUCCGAGUUGUAAUUUGCAGAGGACACUUCGGGUGCGGCCGCGGUCUAAGUCCCCUGGAACGGGGCGUCAGAGAGGGUGAGAAUCCCGUCUUGGGCCGUGGGCUUGCCCCGUGUGAAGUUCCUUCGACGAGUCGAGUUGUUUGGGAAUGCAGCUCUAAGUGGGUGGUAAAUUUCAUCUAAGGCUAAAUACUGGCGGGAGACCGAUAGCGCACAAGUAGAGUGAUCGAAAGGUUAAAAGCACCUUGAAAAGGGAGUUAAACAGCACGUGAAAUUGUUGAAAGGGAAGCGCUGGCAGCCAGACACGGACCCGGGGGCUCAGCGGGCAUGCGUGCCCGUGCACUCCCCCGCGGUCCGGGCCAGCAUCGGUUUCGGCGGCCGGUCAAAGGCCCCGGGAAGGUAUCGUCCUCCGGGACGACUUACAGCCCGGGGCGCAAUGCGGCCAGCCGGGACCGAGGAACGCGCUCCGGCACGGAUGCUGGCGUAAUGGCUGUCAGCGGCCCGUCUUGAAACACGGACC
rnacentral:rRNA from 1 species